UUCAUAAUAAACCGGAACAGAAGAGUCAAAAACUUGAGGAAAUUCAAGAAAACCCCCCAAACCCCAGCAGUCUCUGCUUCCCUUCUCUCACUACAGAUGUAUCGUUUUGGCAUGAUUUUAUAGCGUCUCUCGCCUAAGAAAAUUUGAAAAAAAAAAAAAAGAACCACUCAAUCUUCAAUAUGGAUUUGUUUAGGCAGGCUAUCCUGCGCCCAGGGCCACCUGAAGAGUUCGCACUUCGAACUGUUCAAGAAGCAAUAAAACCUCAGAAGCAAAUAAAGCUAGUCCAAGACGAGAAUCAGCUGCUGGAGAAUAUUCUCA